GACGAACGCUGGCGGCGUGCUUAACACAUGCAAGUCGAACGGUGAAGGGGCCGGUUUUUGCUGGUUCUGGAUGAGUGGCGAACGGGUGAGUAACACGUGAGUAACCUGCCCCCUUCUUCUGGAUAACCGCAUGAAAGUGUGGCUAAUACGGGAUAUUCUGCGCCUGCUGCAUGGUGGGUGUGGGAAAGAUAUUGUUUCGGUGGGGGAUGGGCUCGCGGCCUAUCAGCUUGUUGGUGGGGUGAUGGCCUACCAAGGCGGUGACGGGUAGCCGGCCUGAGAGGGUGGACGGUCACACUGGGACUGAGACACGGCCCAGACUCCUACGGGAGGCAGCAGUGGGGAAUAUUGCACAAUGGGCGCAAGCCUGAUGCAGCGACGCCGCGUGAGGGAUGGAGGCCUUCGGGUUGUAAACCUCUUUCGCCAGUGAAGCAGGCCUGUCCCUUUUGUGGGUGGGUUGACGGUAGCUGGAGAAGAAGCGCCGGCUAACUACGUG
rnacentral:rRNA from 1 species